CCCUGCGCCCGCUCCCGCCUCCCCCGCUGCUGGGGUCUCCUCGGCACUCGCUGCUCCAGACUCGGGGUGAAGCUCUUGCGUGCGGGAGCCCAGUUUCUUCAGGAACCACCCGGAGCAAGAGGGAGGCUCUUUCACCCAACAUUAUGUGGGCGAGGCGAUCCACAGGCUUGGCUAUGGCCAGAGGCUGGUGUUUUCACUGCGUAGAAAAUCCCACUCAAUGCCAAGGUGCGAGGCUGGUGCCCUUAGCUUGCUGUGGUGGAUGCCCAGGAGCCAGUAAGUGUCCCCCCUUACAGCUUUAGGCCCCCCCGGCAAUGGAGUCCCAAUCAACACGAGUGGCCCUGGGCACGUGGGACAAUUGAGCCAGAUGCCAAGGCUAGCCUUCCCUGGGUCCUGCUUCUCUUCCACCCUAGUCUGUCAUUUCUUCAUUUCUCGGUUCUAUCGGAGUCCUCUCACCAUCCACGCUCCCCCAGCCAGUCUCGGGGCAAACCCAGGACUGACUUCUAACAUGAAGGCUUGACCACGAUCAACCCUACAGUGAUACACGAGGCCGUGUGACUCCUCUGUAAUUGCUCUAACUAAACUUACCCUGUUUUCAAAGUCAGCCUUGUAUGGUGACAACUGGAACCUGUGAUUUCUGCCAACAACAAUCCACAUUUUUGGAGUUUGAGAUUUUUUUCCCCUAAGCCUAUGGAGAAAAAACUGCAGUUGUGCAAAAUAUUCCUCCUGGCAUAACUAAGAAAACUGCCCGUGUCUGCAUGUUGUGUCUGCAGGGCCUUACCUCGUGCCUGUCUUGGCAUCUAAAAGGCUGUUGACAUUCUGAAUGGAGAGAUAUGAUAAAACUAG